rnacentral:rRNA from 1 species
ACAAGCAGCGGAGCGUGUGGUUUAAUUCGAUGUUACACGAAGAACCUUACCAGGGUUUGACAUGCAAGUGGUAGGAAACCGAAAGGUGACCGACCUUCGGGGAGCUUGCACAGGUGCUGCAUGGCUGUCGUCAGCUCGUGUCGUGAGAUGUUCGGUUAAGUCCGCUAACGAGCGCAACCCUCGCUGUGUGUUAUAUGUGUCACACGGGACUGCCGGUCUUAAGCCGGAGGAAGGUGGGGAUGAUGUCAAGUCAGCAUGGCCUUUAUAUCCUGGGCUACACACACGCUACAAUGGCCAACACAAUAGGUUGCUAAGCCGCGAGGUGGCGCCAAUCCAUGAAGUUGGUCUCAGUUCAGAUUGUAGGCUGCAACCCGCCUGCAUGAAGAUGGAGUUGCUAGUAACCGCAGGUCAGCUAUACUGCGGUGAAUACGUUCCCGGGGCUU